rnacentral:rRNA from 1 species
UACGUAGGGGGCAAGCGUUGUCCGGAAUCAUUGGGCGUAAAGAGCGUGUAGGCGGCCUGAUAAGUCGGCUGUGAAAGUCAAGGGCUCAACCCUUGAAUGCCGGCCGAUACUGUCAGGCUAGAGUCCGGAGGAGGCGAGUGGAAUUCCUGGUGUAGCGGUGAAAUGCGCAGAUAUCAGGAGGAACACCUAUGGCGAAGGCAGCUCGCUGGGACGGUACUGACGCUGAGACGCGAAAGCGUGGGGAGCGAACAGG